AGGAACAUAAACUGUCCUUUUGCAUGUUAAUAUCGUUAUGUGCCAUACAGAUUCUGACAGCACUGAAGGCAUCACGAGCAGCCUGUGCAGCGCGUGGGAGUGUGGAAGAAGGAUGUGUUGCGCAUGCGCCCGCUUGGUGGGCGGAUACGGGAAAAGGAAUGUACCUCAUGAAAAUAAUUCCAACAGGUAGAGACAAGGGUCGCCAUUAAUGAUAUCAUCCUGACCGGAGGGUGUUGCUGCUGAUGUGGCUGCAGAGUGAUGGACCUGUCGAAGCGAGUGUCGUUGUGGUCGGUUGAAGAAGUGUUGGAGUGGCUGCAGGAUCAGCACCCGACCCUCAUGGGCACGCUCCAGAAGGCCAUAAUUAAACACGCCAUAUCAGGCCGUGUGUUGCUGAGAUUAAAGGACCAUCACCUGGAGCUCCUCGGGGUGGAGUCUGAGGAGCUGCAGCAGGACAUCUUGCAGGACCUCCUCCUCCUCAGAGUGCAAGAAGAAAUCACUGAACUCAACAACCUCUGCUCCGAGUGUUUUUCUUCAUAGCGGCAAAUAAAUAUCAUCCAGAGAAAUGCGGCAUAUUUUUUUUAUUUUCCAUUCAUCCAUUCAUGUGAAGGAGGGAGAAAAGUGGGAGUGAUGGAAACAACAAGAGAAGGUGAAAGAGAAAGAAGAAUCGAUGGCGAAUGAAGAGAGAAAGAAACCCAUUUCCUGCGUGUAAUCUGACCUGUGCAGAUGGAUGAGAUUAGUUUUUACGAGCGUCUUUCUCUUGAGGCCGACUGUCUAUUAGUCUCUGUCUUUCUCUCCGGCGGGUUUACAUCCCAUCAGUGGGUCAGGAAAUACUUUUAGCUAAAACCACUUUGAUCAAGACUGACACAUCUCAACAGCUACUGAAUGAAUCGUAAUGAACCUUUGCACGGACGAUCAUCAUCAUCAUCAUCAUCAUCCCUCGUGGAUGAAUUGUAAUCUGUUAUUGUUUCCUACAGCAUCAUCAUCAAGUCAAAAGUUUCCAACACUUUGGUUGAUGCUAAAUGAAAGUUUAGGUGGUUAUGUUCUAGUGGGACAUAAGGGAUUAUUUUUACGAGUCUAUACAUUGUUUUGUUACGGGGGAAAAAGCUGCAUAUUAUACCUUUAAUGUGAUUAAUCCUGUAUUAACUGGUCCAAACUAUUCAUUUUAUUAUUAUGCCCUAUUUUAUGUAUUGGCAUCAAUAUCACUCCACAUGUGUGUUGCAUACAGUAAAAGGUCAUGUCUAUUUCAGAUGUUCUUUUCAUGGAAAUGCCACAGUAUGGUGAAUUAAAAGUGCAGCUCUGGCAGCUGUGUGUGUGUGUGUGUGUGUGUGUGUGUGUGUGUGUGUGUGUGUGUGUGUGUGUGUGUGUGUGUGUGUGUGUGUGUGUGUGUGUGUGUGUGUGUGUGUGUGUGUGUGUGUGUGUGUCCUCUUUCUGCCUCACUUCCAGUGUUCACCUGCAACACUGUCCACUGUGAAAGAUCUGGGACGCUCAACACUAAAGGUCGUAGUAAUUAUAAAAUAAACAUAUUAAUGCAUUCAUUUUGUGGAAUCAACAUGUCACAGACUCUUAACACAGAAGGUUUUCACACUUUUAACAGCUUUAGUUUCAAGAUAUUACAGAGACGUACACUUCAUACUCUUAUCAAGUAACCGCUUUGUCUUUUUCCUCUAAACUCCUGUUAAAUACUUUUUUAGCAUCAUAUACUUUAUAUUGUCCGCUUGUUCCAGCUUGUAAUUGAUGCUGUAUGAUGUUCACACUGAGGGAAAUACUCAAACCCCAGACUCUCUUUAAAAACAUGUUUUAUACACAUUUAGUCAAAUUCAAUGUUUGGUUCUCCACUCGAAUUGAGCAAUGGAGGAGUAACACAUGUUUCCUGAUAUAAUUACAAACAUGCACUCAGACUCUCACAGGGAAGAGGGACUUCUGCUGUUCAGGGCAAGAAACAACAUGUUUAUGAACUAAACCUGGUGUGUGAGUGAAGCUUCCUAUCAAGUGACCUUUCCUCUGUUUCUGUGUGUGUGUGUGUGUGUGUGUGUGUGUGUGUGUCUGAGUGUGAUUAAUACCCCAGGAGAUGGUGUGACAUUUGAUUUGUCGGGGCGUGGCUGGGGAAGCGCUGACUCAGCACAAACGUAAAUCCACCUCACUGAUAAAGUGAAGUGUGUGUGGUGGUGUGGGGGGGGGUGAUGAAAUACACCACUGACCCUGACGACAGCCGGAAGGAAAAUUCUGACGUUAAAUACACAAAUGCAAAUUCAGCUUAUUUCAAGGUGUGUCCUCGUUUAGUGGGUGGUAUCGUGCACAAAGGGAAAUGACCUGAAGAAAACCGAUUAGUAAUGAAAACACUAAAACUGAGUUAAAGACACCGUGUGGCAGAAACUAGAAGGACACCCAGACAAAGUAUGUGGACACCUAAAUAUACAUAUA
ensembl:lncRNA sterile alpha motif domain-containing protein 12-like